AUGUGCAUUCCUACAACAUAGAAUUAAUGCAGUAGAUCCCAUUAGAACUCUGCAGUUAAGUGCACUCAGGCUAGAGUAGUAUUUGGGAUGGGUAACCACCUAGGAAGAAGUCCUAGUGUUUUACAUG
rfam:Picea glauca, whole genome shotgun sequence.